rnacentral:rRNA from 1 species
AACGAACGCUGGCGGCAGGCCUAACACAUGCAAGUCGAACGCUGUAGCAAUACAGAGUGGCAGACGGGUGAGUAACGCGUGGGAACCUUCCCAAUGGUACGGAAUAGCCCAGGGAAACUUGGGGUAAUACCGUAUACGCCCCUAGGGGGAAAGAUUUAUCGCCAUUGGAUGGGCCCGCGUCGGAUUAGCUAGUUGGUGAGGUAAUGGCUCACCAAGGCAACGAUCCGUAGCUGGUUUGAGAGAAUGACCAGCCACACUGGGACUGAGACACGGCCCAGACUCCUACGGGAGGCAGCAGUGGGGAAUCUUGGACAAUGGGCGCAAGCCUGAUCCAGCCAUGCCGCGUGAGUGACGAAGGCCUUAGGGUUGUAAAGCUCUUUUGCCGGGGACGAUAAUGACGGUACCCGGAGAAUAAGUCCCGGCUAACUUCGUGCCAGCAGCCGCCGCGG